CACCUCAAAAAAAUGUGUGAAAAAUAAGUAAUGAUAACGAUUGUUUUAAAAAGGUGCUGCCAUGGAACUUAAGGACCCAAGGCUUGUCACUUCAAGACUGGCAGUGACGGCACAACAGAGGGGACUCAGCUGGUGACUCUGCCACACCAGGAACGGGCUCAGAAGUUGAUCAUUGAGCCGGAAGUCUUCAACCCUGCUCGGCCUGAUACUCCCCUCGUGGUUCACCCAGAGCCCUCGGCAUCACUCAGGAGUACACUGCAGUGGCUGAAGACUAAAUCCAGGAUUGGGGAAGUCGAAGGUCCUCCAGCACCAAUUCCUUCUGAUCGUAGAGUUCACUUUGCUCAGACAAAUCUGCCUGUGGUUCGCCCCCACUACUGAUUCAUGUCAGCAUCUGUGGUACUCCUUUGCCCUCUCUAGAACACCCACCGUUCCUCUUGCCCUUUGCUUCCCAUCUCCCAGGGAAAUAUUUUAUAUUGACACCCUUUCAAUCAGUACUUGAAUUCAGCCUUCUUUUUUUUUUNNN
rnacentral:lncRNA from 1 species